UAGUAUAGCAUUAUACAGCGAAACUGCGAAUGGCUCAUUANAUCAGUUAUCGUUUAUUUGAUAGUACCUUACUACAUGGAUAACCGUGGUAAUUCUAGAGCUAAUACAUGCUAAAAAUCCCGACUUCGGAAGGGAUGUAUUUAUUAGAUUAAAAACCAAUGCCCUUCGGGGCUCUCUGGUGAUUCAUAAUAACUUCUCCAAUCCCACGGCCUUGCGCCGGCGAAGGUUCAUUCAAAUUUCUGCCCUAUCAACUUUCGACGGCUGGGUCUUGGCCAGCCGUGGUGACAACGGGUAACGGGGAAUANAACGGGGAAUANAUUUGGGNGCGGGNAUUUUAAUAGAAGAUAUAAGNAANANACUAGUCGUUCGAAUUUCUGCCCCUUCAACUCUCGAUGGUAGGAUAGAGGCCUACCNUGGUCGCAACGGGUAACGGGGAAUAACNUGUGUCNGGUUNUGGUANUAUUUUUAGAGAUAUCUUUUAUAAUGAGCAUUGCGNUUGCUUUNAUUGCUUAUACUUAGACNGNAUGGNUUANUCUNUGAGAANGCAUAUGAACNCUUNA
rnacentral:rRNA from 1 species